rnacentral:rRNA from 1 species
UGGGGAAUAUUGGACAAUGGGCGCAAGCCUGAUCCAGCAAUGCCGCGUGAGUGAUGAAGGCCUUAGGGUUGUAAAGCUCUUUCGCACGCGACGAUGAUGACGGUAGCGUGAGAAGAAGCCCCGGCUAACUUCGUGCCAGCAGCCGCGGUAAUACGAAGGGGGCUAGCGUUGUUCGGAAUUACUGGGCGUAAAGGGCGCGUAGGCGGCCUGUUUAGUCAGAAGUGAAAGCCCCGGGCUCAACCUGGGAAUAGCUUUUGAUACUGGCAGGCUUGAGUUCCGGAGAGGAUGGUGGAAUUCCCAGUGUAGAGGUGAAAUUCGUAGAUAUUGGGAAGAACACCGGUGGCGAAGGCGGCCAUCUGGACGGACACUGACGCUGAGGCGCGAAAGCGUGGGGAGCAAACAGAUUAGAUACCCUGGUAGUCCACGCCGUAAACGAUGAAUGCUAGACGUCGGGGUGCAUGCACUUCGGUGUCGCCGCUAACGCAUUAAGCAUUCCGCCUGGGGAGUACGGCCGCAAGGUUAAAACUUAAAUGAAUUGACGGGGUCAUAGCUGUUUCCU